CUCAAGUGAGAUUACAAGCAAGAACGUUUAAUCGGCGAACGAGAUCAACGUUACACCGUGCGACUUUACAUAAAUCAAAGAUAAAGUCUAAUGGAAACACUGAUCUGCGGAGAAAAACGCGAGAUGGCAUCGUUAGCAGUCCGAUUAAAUAGUUGCGAUGAAGGGAGACGCGAGAUGGCGGUACCAGUUUCUCAACCGUUCAAUCAGUUUAGAAAGAAAAAAAAUGCGAAAUGGCGUCGGCGCCACUUUUUUUGGAAAAUUUGUACGCAGCGAGCCACGCUUACACCACCGAGUCUAGCUUUUGUUUCGCUAAACUACAACUGUCGAUAAGACGCAAUCUUAUUCAAGACUUGACAGCAGAAGACAUGUAGCCGACCCCGAGUUUCCGGGUUUUCGGUGAGUCGAAAAAAUGAAUAGAAAAAAUGGUAGAUGAUGUAUGUAGAGAUUUAAAACAGAAUCCAAUAGAUUUUCACUUCAUUGUGAUAUUGAUUGAAAAAAAAAAAACA